rnacentral:rRNA from 1 species
UACGAAGGGGGCUAGCGUUGUUCGGAAUUACUGGGCGUAAAGCGCGCGCAGGCGGUCUUCCAAGUCAGUGGUGAAAGCCGGCGAGCUCAACUCCGGAACUGCCAUUGAAACUGUAGACUUGAGGAUGAGAGAGGUGAGUGGAAUUCCCAGUGUAGAGGUGAAAUUCGUAGAUAUUGGGAAGAACACCGGUGGCGAAGGCGGCUCACUGGCUCAUAUCUGACGCUCAGGCGCGACAGCGUGGGGGAUCAAACAGG